UUUUAAAAAAAUAAAAAAAGCUCCUGCUCUCAGAACGUAAAGAUGGAUGGAAGAUGAAGAUGGAUGGAUAUAAAGUGGGACAUCAAUGGGAGAAAAAAGUUAGACAGUCCAACUUUUGAUGACAACUACAGUGACCUCUGCAAGAAGAGACAGGAAUUCAUAAAUGGUGAAGACAUCUGGCGAGAAGCACCCAAGAGGAAGAGCAAACCAAACAGCAAGUGGAAAGAUGUGGCAGAGGAGGACCAUGAAGUUCAAACAAAAAGUCUAUGCCCAGGCGAAGUUCCCCGACACCUCCAUGCAAGAUGUCAGACGGAUCAUUAGAAAGAAAUGCAACAACAUAAGAGAUGCAAAACAACUAAAUGAAAAUAAGUCAUAAAAGUAAUGUUUCUGUCAAGAUAUUUUUGUUCCGAAAACUUGCACUUUUUUCACCUUCUUUUGACAACCAAGAACUUCAGUUCUCAGUUCUUAUUUAGUUCUGAGCUGAAAACAUACUUUGUUUAGAUUUUUGAUGACGAUUGCAGUUUUUCUUGUUCCAUUUUUCACAAAGAAUGACUUCCUUGUG